rnacentral:rRNA from 1 species
AUUGAACGCUGGCGGCAGGCCUAACACAUGCAAGUCGAGCGAGAGGCGGACGGGUGAGUAAUGUCUGGGGAAAUGCCCGAGGGAGGGGGAUAACAAUUCGAAACGGUAUCUAUUAUAGCGCACCCUCGCAUGUGCCCCGAUGGGAGUAGCUGGUAGGUGAGGUAACGGCUCACCUCGGCGACGAUCCCUAGCUGGUCUGAGAGGAUGACCAGCCACACUGGAACUGAGACACGGUCCAGACUCCUACGGGAGGCAGCAGUGGGGAAUAUUGCACAAUGGGCGCAAGCCUGAUGCAGCCAUGCCGCGUGUAUGAAGAAGGCCUUCGGGUUGUAAAGUACUUUCAGCGGGGAGGCGUUACCCGCAGAAGAAGCACCGGCUAACUCCGUGCCAGCAGCCGCGGUAAUUC